rnacentral:sRNA from 1 species
GCACCUGAAAUCACAUCAGGCACAGUUACAGGGGCUUC